rnacentral:lncRNA from 1 species
AAUUGGUAUCUGAUUGGCAUAGGGAAUGAAGCUGACCUGCACACAGUUCACUUUCAUGGCCAUAGCUUUGAAUACAAGGGCUGAUGGAGCAGAACCUCUGAAGCAGACAAAGGAGAGUCAGCAUGAACAGUUUCUCAGAAUCUUCUCUCAAUAUCAGGACUACAUUUGUCAACAAAACCAAAAACUGAUUAGCCACCGAUAUAAUUUUUACCUACAACAUCCUAUUAAUGUCAAUAAUAUCAUUAUUGAUACAAUUCUAAUAAUCACUACCCUUAUUCCUAUCAGUGUUCAUGUACAUUCUUAGUAAAAGAGACUUUGGUG